rnacentral:lncRNA from 1 species
CAUGGUAAACAUUCCUAAAACCCACUGGACUUUCUGUACGAAGUGUGGCAAGCACCAACCCCACAAAAUGACACAGUACAAGAAGGGCAAGGAUUCUCUGUAUGCCCAGGGAAAGCGGUGUUACGACAAGAAGCAGAGUGACUAUGGGGGACAAGCUAAGCCAAUUUUCUGGAAAUAAAACUACAAAGAUGAUUGUGCUAAGGCUUGAGUGUGUUGAGCCAACUGCAGAUCUAAGAGAAUGCUGGCUAUUAAAAGAUGCAAGCAUUUUGAACUGGGAGGAGAUAAGGAAAGAAAGGCCCAAGUGAUUCAGUUC